rnacentral:rRNA from 1 species
AUUGAACGCUGGCGGCAGGCUUAACACAUGCAAGUCGAGCGGGGGAAGGUAGCUUGCUACCGGACCUAGCGGCGGACGGGUGAGUAAUGCUUAGGAAUCUGCCUAUUAGUGGGGGACAACAUCUCGAAAGGGAUGCUAAUACCGCAUACGUCCUACGGGAGAAAGCAGGGGAUCUUCGGACCUUGCGCUAAUAGAUGAGCCUAAGUCGGAUUAGCUAGUUGGUGGGGUAAAGGCCUACCAAGGCGACGAUCUGUAGCGGGUCUGAGAGGAUGAUCCGCCACACUGGGACUGAGACACGGCCCGAACUCCUACGGGAGGCAGCAGUGGGGAAUAUUGGACAAUGGGGGGAACCCUGAUCCAGCCAUGCCGCGUGUGUGAAGAAGGCCUUAUGGUUGUAAAGCACUUUAAGCGAGGAGGAGGCUACUUUAGUUAAUACCUAGAGAUAGUGGACGUUACUCGCAGAAUAAGCACCGGCUAACUCUGUGCCAGCCGCCGCGGUAA